rnacentral:lncRNA from 1 species
GCAGCGUGGACCUGCCUUGGGAUUACAUGAAUAACCUAGCUCUCAGCCACAAUUUAGCCCAUGUGGACCUUGACCGUCUCCCCAGCCCACAGGACAUUGGGCUGAUAUGACCUGGAGGACCCACCCCUGUGGGAUGGUGAUCUGGCUUCUCAGGACCACUCAGGAUUAUUUAGGAGCUCAGCUGGAAGAUGCCACCACAAGACUGCAGAGAGUCCUACAGCAUAUGACCCUGGACCCUGGUGAAUGGUGCCGUUCCCCUAAACCAGAAUCCACAGGCCGGGGGCCUACGGGUGAGAGUGAGGGCAGCACUUAUGGUUGGAACAUUCACAAAAGUUUACCUCUUGGCCCUGUUAGUCCUUACUCUUCUAGUUUGGA